rnacentral:rRNA from 1 species
AACUGGGCGUUAAGUUGCAGGGUAUAGACCCGAAACCCGGUGAUCUAGCCAUGGGCAGGUUGAAGGUUGGGUAACACUAACUGGAGGACCGAACCGACUAAUGUUGAAAAAUUAGCGGAUGACUUGUGGCUGGGGGUGAAAGGCCAAUCAAACCGGGAGAUAGCUGGUUCUCCCCGAAAGCUAUUUAGGUAGCGCCUCGUGAAUUCAUCUCCGGGGGUAGAGCACUGUUUCGGCAAGGGGGUCAUCCCGACUUACCAACCCGAUGCAAACUGCGAAUACCGGAGAAUGUUAUCACGGGAGACACACGGCGGGUGCUAACGUCCGUCGUGAAGAGGGAAACAACCCAGACCGCCAGCUAAGGUCCCAAAGUCAUGGUUAAGUGGGAAACGAUGUGGGAAGGCCCAGACAGCCAGGAUGUUGGCUUAGAAGCAGCCAUCAUUUAAAGAAAGCGUAAUAGCUCACUGGUCGAGUCGGCCUGCGCGGAAGAUGUAACGGGGCUAAACCAUGCAC